UAGUACAUAAAGUGGUAUUUUGCAAAACAAAAGGUGUAAGAUCUUCAUGACUGCUGGCAUAGCUGCAAUAACAGCUUCAAGGAUUUCCUUUUCUUUCUUUAUAAUGGUCCUUAUGCUAGAUUUGUUAAUCUUGCAACCACAGCUGCAAACCUCAAUCUAUGGCACAUAUCAAGCAAUUCAACUCUUUCUUGUAAUGUCAUUACUUUUCUCUGCUACUUGAGAGCACUUCCAACAUCACUAGUGACACUUUGUGUGGGUCUCAGAGUGUUACUCAAGGUUUACAGUAUUGCACUAAACACAAAAAGUGCACGAGAACCACAAGAGAUCACUUUUUAAGCACUAUACAUUUUAUUGGAGAGAUGAAUUUCUCACGUGGAAUAAUUAGUGUCACAUGGCAUUUUAAGUGGAUGCUCACAAUACUUGAGCUCACCAGAAUAGCAAGAGUAGGUGGUUAUGAAAUAUUACAGUACAGUAUUACAAUUAAUUUAUGCAAUUACAAUUUAAUAUUUUAUCUUUACGUUUUACAUUUUUCUUGACUGCGAAAGGUGCCAUGUAAGACCUGAGUUUGUGUGUGUACGUUUUGAUAAAUUUUAACAUUUUAUAUA